rnacentral:piRNA from 1 species
UUCACAGUUUGAUCCUAAUUACUGGACCUA